GACAACGCUGGCGGCGUGCCUAACACAUGCAAGUCGAACGAAGCACUCUGAAUGGAGAUUCGUCAAAGUUCAGAUUUGACUUAGUGGCGGACGGGUGAGUAAUGCAUGAGCAACCUGCCCUGCGUGGGGGACAACAAGUUGGAAACGACUGCUAAUACCGCAUGAUGUAUCUGGAAGGCAUCUUCCGGAUACCAAAGAUUUAUCGCUGUGGGAUGGGCUCAUGUCUGAUUAGUUAGUUGGUGGGGUAACGGCCUACCCAAGACUGCGAUCAGUAGCCGGACUGAGAGGUUGAACGGCCACAUUGGGACUGAGAUACGGCCCAGACUCCUACGGGAGGCAGCAGUGGGGAAUAUUGGGCAAUGGGCGAAAGCCUGACCCAGCAACGCCGCGUGAAGGAAGAAGGUCUUCGGAUUGUAAACUUCUUUUAUGAGGGACGAAGGAAGUGACGGUACCUCAUGAAUAAGCCACGGCUAACUACGUG
rnacentral:rRNA from 1 species